UACCUUGGAGAACCAAUUACUUAAUGUCUCUUCCGUCUUUUCCUUCCCCGACCCCCUCCCAGACUCCUUCAUUCCGGUACUGCGUGGACGGAAAGCCCUGGGUAGCCGACACCACGUCCCCGGCUAGCGGGAGACAGCGUGGAAAAGGAUUGUACCAAACUGUUUAAACCCAACGGCUCCUGCUUCCGUCCUGCUCCUGAGCUAGACCCAACAAGCCUAGGGAGUUGGGCUACGGAAAGACUAGUAUUUUCAUUUAAUUGGAUAUGAAGAAAGAACAAAUAUGUACGGGGGCAACCACGAUCUUUAUAAAGAACAUAAGUUCCAGGAAAGCAGGAACCUUGUCUCUCUUGUUCACUGAUGUAUCCUGUGCAUAUAGAGCAGUGCCUGGCACAUAAUAGGUGCUGAAGGAGAAAAAAAUAAUUUACAUUCUGCUAGUCUGAAAUCCUGAUUUGAAAUGAAGAUAUGACAAGACCCAGAGAAAUGAUUUCCAUUCAGGAGAGAAUCUCUAAAUGAAAAUUCAUGGGAUGAUCAGAUUCAAUAUAUACCAUCAAAAUUCUAAUUAAGUCAUUCCCCACCCCAUAUCCAAUCACAAAUGAUUCAAUCUCCAUUUCUACCAGUUAAAUCACUUCCUCCCAAUUCUAGUAAAUCCUUUCAUAUACAAAGUUGAAAUUUUUGCUUGAAAAUGUUGGAAGCUUUUGAUGAGAAACAGGAGAAAACCCAAUGCCAGGGGUCAGAAAUUGCAUUAAAAAUAAAAUAAUAUAAAUAAUGGAAUUUGUUUUGAAAUUUAAACCUAAUUCUAUACAAAAAGUUAGUGCUUUAAUUUGUUUUGACAAGUAAGAUUUUUAAAAAGUGGCCUGGCAUCUACCAAAAAAUUCUGAUUUUAAAUGAAGACACUAAUGUUCAGCGAGGUGGUUUCCUGAAUAUAACUUCAGUGUGAAAUUUUCUUUGUUGAUGCUCCAGGUAAAUUACUGAAUAAUAUUAUAAUCUAACCAUCUCUUAUCUAAUUACAUGGUUAUUUAUACCUAAUUAGCACACCAGUCCAUUAUUACUAAGACAAUUAAGAACAAAACUUACUAAAAACAGUUAAAACUAAACAUCUAAACUAUAGAAAAUAAAAGAAUAGAAAAAGACAUGCCAGGUAAUAUAACCCCCCCAAAAAAACUUUAUGGAGCAAUAUUAAUUAUCAAAGUAUUCUUUUUAUUAAGUAACAUUAAUAGGGACAAAGAAGUGCAUCUUAUUACAUUACAAAGAAAAAUACACUAGGAAAUAGUAUGAUCAUGUAUACAAUGUAGUUGGAAAAGUGUGAAGCAAAAAGAAUUACAAGGAAAAGCUGACGAAUCUGCAAUCACGGUGGAAAUCUUUUUUUUAAACAAAUUUUUCUCAUCUUGGUAGAUCAUGCAGACUAACAAUAUUAAUCUAAUAUAUAUGUUAUAUGUGUGUGCAUAUGUGUGUAUUGUAUAUGUAUGCUUAUUGUAUUAUACAUGUGUAUAAAGUUUUAUAACCAAAACAGUACACAUUAUUUUCAAUAAACAUUGGACAU